rnacentral:rRNA from 1 species
GACGAACGCUGGCGGUGUGCUUAACACGUGCAAGUCGAGCGAGAAGCCCGGAAGGGGUAACCCAUCUGGGUGGAAAGCGGCGAACGGGUGAGUAACACGUGGGCAACCUGCCCCAGACUUUGGGAUAACUCCGGGAAACCGGGGCUAAUACCGGAUACUCUCGCGAUCUCACAUGGGAUUGCGAGGAAAGCUCCGGCGGUCUGGGAUGGGGCCCGCGGCCUAUCAGCUUGUUGGUGGGGUAACGGCCCACCAAGGCGG